AUGCAUGCAUGCAUGGCAACAAACUAGUAAUCAUGGCUGAUAUAUUUUGAACGUAAUGGUGGUUGAUUCGUGUAAGAUUAACUAGACGACGGGUGGUGGUGGGGAGCGGCAUAAUAUCGGGAGUAAGCAGAAAAUCGGGCGGCGUGGAGGUGGCGGUGGUGACAAUGGGCAGAAUAUUGAGAGGUCUAUCAAUAAUGGAGGUAAAAUUGGAGGGUAUGGUAUGCAUAUACGUGGACGCGGUGGUGGUGGAGACCGUGAUGGUGGAGGCGGUGGUGGAGGUGGUGGUGGAGGCGAUGAUGGAGGUGGCGGUGAUGGAGGUGGUGGUGAUGGUGGUGGAGGUGGAGGCGGUGAUGGUGGUGGUGGUGAUGGAGGAGGCGGUGAUGGAGGUGGUGGUGGUGGUGGAGAAGACAACAAUGGAGGUGGAGGAGGUGGUGAUAGAAGUAAAGGAGGUAGGCCAGAUGGAGGAGCCGGUGAUGGCGGCGGAGGGUUAAGUUCCGGUGGCGGCGGAGAUAGGCAAAAUAUUGGUAGAGGAGCUAAAAUAGGCAAGAGUGUUAAUAAAACCCAUAAUUUGAGUUGCAUGUUCAUCACCAUAUAUAGAUCACUCUAUAUUUGUUUGCAAAAUAAGUUGAAUGUUU
rnacentral:lncRNA from 1 species